GCCCCCAUCGUCUAGCGGCCUAGGACGCCGGGUUCUCAUCCCGGUAACAGGGGUUCGAGUCCCCUUGGGGGUAUCA
rnacentral:tRNA from 1 species